rnacentral:rRNA from 1 species
GGAGGGUGCAAGCGUUGUCCGGAUUUAUUGGGUUUAAAGGGUGCGUAGGCGGCCUGACAAGUCAGUGGUGAAAUCCCCCCCGCUCAACGGGGGAACUGCCAUUGAAACUGUAAGGCUUGAGGACAGUCGAGGUAGGCGGAAUUUAUGGUGUAGCGGUGAAAUGCAUAGAUACCAUAAAGAACACCGAUAGCGAAGGCAGCUUACUAGACUGUACCUGACGCUGAGGCACGAAAGCGUGGGGAGCGAACAUGAUUAGAUACCCUGGUAGUCCACGCCGUAAACGAUGAUCACUGGAUGUAUGCGAUAGACAGUAUGCGUCUGAGCGAAAGCGUUAAGUGAUCCCACCUGGGGAGUACGUCGGCACGAUG